rnacentral:rRNA from 1 species
CGCUAGCGGCAGGCCUAACACAUGCAAGUCGAGGGGCAGCAUAUCUAGCUUGCUAGAUGAUGGCGACCGGCGCACGGGUGCGUAACGCGUAUACAAUCUACCUAUUACUGAGGUAUAGCCCGAAGAAAUUUGGAUUAACACCUCAUAGUAUUACUAAGUCGCAUGACUUAAUAAUUAAAGGUUACGGUAAUAGAUGAGUAUGCGUCCUAUUAGCUAGAUGGU